AGCGGCGGCAAAUUGCCUGCGGUCUCUCCAAUAGCAGCAAAUUAGAGAAGAUAGCUGCGAUCCCUUCCCAAAUCAUCAAUCCGACGCCAAAUCAUACUGAAUUAGUGUCAAAUCUACGAAGCCCGCCGCUAACCCCAAUUCAUCUAGUGAUUUUACCCAAAUCCAAUUCAGAAUACCCUAAAUCAAGAAAAUGAGAAACCCACCAAGGGAGAGUGCAGAGUGCGAAACUCUUCCCUGCUCACCGUGCCCCGCUGUGUCACCGUGGAGUUGCGUGGCUGCCGAUCCACCUUUCUGUCACUGCCGUCAACCGUUCCCAGAAUCAGAUUCGUAGUUUGUUAUCUUCCUCGCGUGAACACAAAACGGGCAGAGGCAUGAAACGCACCUCCGCGUGCGAAUCCUUGCCGCCGUUCCCCUCCGCCCGUCAGCACCAACUGCAUCGCGCUUCCCGUUGCGGAUGGGUUCUUCGUUUAGAUUACUGAAUUGGGAGCGUGUAACAGGAUUGUGAGCAAAAGCGCGAAUCCCUUCUGCCGUGUAGCACCGCCGGUCAGUACCAGUUGCGUCGUGCUUCCCCAUGCUGGUGGGUCCACCGUUGAUCUGCUCUCUCCUCCUUCUGGUCCCAUUCCUAGGGCAAAAAGGCUUUGUUCAAUUCUGAGAUGGUAAGGGUCCAAAUGAUCAGUCGGAUGUAUCUUAUUGAAUGUUUUGUCACGUGAUUAAGUUAUACCUAUAUCCUUCUUCAUUUUUCAGUGAAUGUAGAUUAGUUGCUGUAACCUACUCAAUUAAUUCCUUUCUCCAAGACAUUAUGAGGUUUAGGGGUGAGCACGGGUCGGUUUGGUUCGGGUUCAAGAUAAAAUUAGAACCGAACCGAUCAAAAAGUAAUUGAUUUGGUUUGGUUCGAAUUUGCAUUUUUUUGUGUUUGUACCCGAACCAAACCAAACCGAUUAAGAGCGGAUUGGUUCGGUUCGGGUAGCGGGUACCCGAUGCCUUUGAAAUUCAUAAAAAAAAAAAACUAAAUUGGGAAAUUUUUAUCUUAAAAAUUCAAGAAAUACAAUAAACAUGUAACAUCAACAGAAAUAAUGCAAACAUAUUAAAUACGAAAUACAUUAAAAACUAAACUCAUCAAAAUCCAAACAUAUUAAUAGUAAAUAAUCUUGUCUAAUGAAAAUAUAAAAGUGCAAUAGAAAUAUUAGAAGUUAAAUACAAAAGUCUAGUGAAUAAUCUUCGAAAGAAGCUAAAACCAAAACACAUUAAAAUUUAAACAUUAGUGAGAUAGGAUUAGCGUUAUGAGUUAGAAAACACAUAAAAAGUCAUAUAUAUAUAUAUAUAUAUAUAUGAUCGGGUAUACGGGUUGGUUCGGGUUCCGCACCCCCAAAACCGAUACCCGAACCAAUCAUCAGCAAAUGUCAUUGGUUUGGUUCGGGUUGGACCCGAUUACCCGUCGGUUCUAAAACCAAUUUGAUUGGUUUGGUUCGGGUUCGGGUGGGUAAUCGGGUACCCGCUACCCGUGCUCACCCCUAAUGAGGUUAGUUUUAUUUUACACUAUUUUUUUGUGUUAAUUUAUAAGGUUAGCUUUAUUUUACACUGUAUUUUGUUUAAGAAUGUGGAACUCCGUAGCCCAUGCUGUAUCUUUAUCAUAUCCUGAUAUGACUCUAGUGCACUGUGCCACCUUUAUCUUCUCUUUUUUAUAUUUUUUUUUAAUUUUUAAAUUUUUUAGAAAAUCAAUUGAUCAUGUAAAUAGAAGCAUGUUUAUGUAGCAGUUUAAGUCUUGCAAUGUAGAAUAUUAUAAAUAUUAGAUAGUACUGAUAUAAAUUUAAAGCACCUAAAAAUAUAGUCUUUAACAGCUUUAUAACACCCCUGCUAACAUACAAUUACAAGAGUUUGAGCUUAUCCUUAUUGAUUUAUUGCUUCCAUUGUCUCAUUCAUGAGUGUAAGAAAUAUAUUUUUUCUUUAGUUACUUGAUCUGAUUCUAGAAUAUGUUGCAAUGAUUACUUAUGUUAACAAUUUAUAUGUAUAUAUGGCCAUUUGUAACUAUUUAAAAGGGCCAUGCUGGGGUAGCUAUAGCAUUUGUUAUUGGAUAAUUUUGUAAAUGCUAUUGUAGCUGGGAUUAAAGCAUGAGGACAAGAUUAAUUUACUUUGUUGAUGCAUGUUUUGCAGCAUUAGCACAAUCUUCUUAGAGUAUUUUAUUUGUAGAAUAAUCAAUUACUAUUAAAAGAGUAAACUUUGCAUAAUGUGUAAAAAAUAAACAAGUAAGGUGGUGAAGGUGUAUAACUAUAUAUAACCUUUGCCUAAUGUGGAGUAGUACAUAAAGCUAAUUGUGUGUUAUUUUCUUUGUUACCACCAUAUUGCCCCUAUGCUAGAAAACAUAGAUACAUAGUAACAGUGACAUUUUUUCUGUUCUAAAUUUUGUAAUUGUUGUGCAUAAGUCUUAGGAAUGAAGUUUUGAUCACAAACACAAAGACACUGCUUAAGUUUGAAGCUUUACAACCUUUUAAAGAUACCCACUAAAGCAUUUUGAAUCCAUAUCACUCACAAAAGAAAUAGAAUCAAAGGCUUUGUUGUUGUUUUUUUUUUCGUUUUGGGCUUCUUAAGCAAUUAUUUUUCUGCAUAAGCUCUUUCCUUUAAACGUCAAAGUCAUACAUACAUAGAUCAUAAAUGAUAGCCACUUAGCCCGCUCCUUCUGCAUUGCUGAUUCUAUGUUUCAAGUAAGCUGUUACUCUUAAUUUCAUUUGAAAUAUAAAGUUAUUUUAUAUUAUUAUUUUUAUUUUUAUAUUUGCCUUUUUAUGUGUAGAGACUGUGCUAAUUUAUCUGAUUCAACGGUAAGGUGGGGAGCUGCCAUCAGACACUCGGAUAAAUUCUUUGGAUAGACAUCGCGAAAAAUAGAAAUUAGGAGUCGUGUGAAAAUUUAGUUGAAGUAUAUGUUUAGUUGACUAUGCAGCUUUAUUAAUUAGUAAAAUAAUUUUUUUUGUGAC